rnacentral:rRNA from 1 species
UUGUACUUCGGUAAUGACGUUGGGAAAGCGAGCGGCGGAUGGGUGAGUAACACGUGGGGAACCUGCCCCUAAGUCUGGGAUACCAUUUGGAAACAGGUGCUAAUACCGGAUAAUAAAGCAGAUCGCAUGAUCAGCUUUUGAAAGGCGGCGUAAGCUGUCGCUAAGGGAUGGCCCCGCGGUGCAUUAGCUAGUUGGUAAGGUAACGGCUUACCAAGGCGACGAUGCAUAGCCGAGUUGAGAGACUGAUCGGCCACAUUGGGACUGAGACACGGCCCAAACUCCUACGGGAGGCAGCAGUAGGGAAUCUUCCACAAUGGACGCAAGUCUGAUGGAGCAACGCCGCGUGAGUGAAGAAGGUUUUCGGAUCGUAAAGCUCUGUUGUUGGUGAAGAAGGAUAGAGGUAGUAACUGGCCUUUAUUUGACGGUAAUCAACCAGAAAGUCACGGCUAACUACGUGCCAGCAGCCGCGGUAAUACGUAGGUGGCAAGCGUUGUCCGGAUUUAUUGGGCGUAAAGCGAGCGCAGGCGGAAAAAUAAGUCUAAUGUGAAAGCCCUCGGCUUAACCGAGGAACUGCAUCGGAAACUGUUUUUCUUGAGUGCAGAAGAGGAGAGUGGAACUCCAUGUGUAGCGGUGGAAUGCGUAGAUAUAUGGAAGAACACCAGUGGCGAAGGCGGCUCUCUGGUCUGCAACUGACGCUGAGGCUCGAAAGCAUGGGUAGCGAACAGGAUUAGAUACCCUGGUAGUCCAUGCCGUAAACGAUGAGUGC